UACGUAGGGUGCGAGCGUUGUCCGGAAUUAUUGGGCGUAAAGGGCUCGUAGGCGGUCUGUCACGUCGGGAGUGAAAACACGGGGCUUAACCCCGUGCCUGCUUCCGAUACGGGCAGACUAGAGGUAUGCAGGGGAGAACGGAAUUCCUGGUGUAGCGGUGAAAUGCGCAGAUAUCAGGAGGAACACCGGUGGCGAAGGCGGUUCUCUGGGCAUUACCUGACGUGAGGAGCGAAAGUGUGGGGAGCGAACAGG
rnacentral:rRNA from 1 species